CAGAUGCUGACAGCGUGAAACAUGAUCUGUGUUUGUUAUGAGCCCUGUCAUCGAUGGAAUUAUCAUCUAGACUUGAUCACACACAUCUGCACAUGAUUAUUGCAAAAUACUGCAAUGUUGAUCUGAUUUGGAAAUCCCAAACCUCCAUGCCUGUUUCCCUUUACAUCUUCAACUGGAUGACUUCAAUUUAAUAUCCUGUCUGAUAUCAACAAGAUUAAGCAGCUGACAUCACACACACCACCCUCCUUGGUUCCCCACAGACACACUCAGGAACUCCGGACCAGGUCCCCUGAGGUCACAUCCAACACAAUGUCAUUAUCAUCCAUCGGAUUGCAUGUGGUCACUGCCCAUUCGGUCUUGCUGACAAGCCUUUUGUGCUCAGUAAUUCUUCUCAUAGGACCCCCCCACCUCCCUUCCAUCCACCACCAACCCCUCCCCUCUUGUCUACUGUGGCCCAUCUGUAAUCCCAUCCCCCGUCCUGCAUCCCCAUAUCCGCCCUGUCUCGACCCAUACUACUCCAAAACAAACCAGCUGUCUUGGCCAGUCGUGUCCCGUGGGGGGCGUAAACAGUUACCAUGAGGACCAGAGGGGCCUCGUCGUCAUCGCCGGCUCCUGCAAGCUGCCAUCCCAUCAUGAUGUUGUCGUGCCCCAAAGGUGAUGCAAGUGUUAACCGUUCCGACAUGGGAUGAUUUAAAAAUGUAUAUCUUUCAACCAAGAAGCCCAUCUUUUAAACUUGUGUGUACUGUAAAAGGCUAAACGAAGAACGAAAAGCCCUCAGCAGAUCUAAAAAUACACAUACUGUACCUGUGGUCAAGUAACCAAAAUAGAUAAAAGCAAAGAGUUUGUCUGGCUGAGUCCAGCAGUAUUUUUAGCACAAAUGACACACUG